UGAUUGUUUUGGUCAAUUUUGUUUAUUAUUUUUAGGGUUUUGAUUAUUUGUUGUGUGUGCUUUGUAAUUUGAUUUGGGUUGUGUGAAAAUUAGCUUUCUUGAUCUUGAUACUUGAGGGUUUUGUUUAAUAUGAUCAAAUUGAUUAAAGUGCUUUGUGAUAGGUUGAACUUUUGGCCGUUAGGAGAUUAGGAAUUUGAUAUAGUUUUUGUUAACUUUCGUGUAUUGAUUUGAUUGUUAGGAGCUCUCAGCGAAUUAGGUAAUUUCAAAUUAAUAACAAGAUUCAAUCUGACACUCUAAUUUAAUAUAAUAAAUUAACUAAUUAGAUAAAUUUGGAUAAAAUUAAUGGAUGAUCUCGGAUAGCUUUGCUGCUGAGAUAAAGUUGUCUGACAAGUUUUUUUUCCCACCAAAACCAUCAUUCUCGCAUAUUGAAAUUGUAUCUUUCGUUUUGCUUGGUUCCACAUUCGAAUAUGGUUCACAGUUUAUAAAUUAUGCAAUUUCGCGUCAAGUUCAAGACUUAAAUGUGCAUAUUCCAGAAUUUGUUAUGGAUUUAUCCACCUUUAGUUCUACUUCCAUGAAGAAACUUAAGAUGAGUCUUGAUUUUUGUAAGGUGUUUAGAUUCUCGGAUUGUUGGGAUUUGCCUGCUUUAACAACUCUACGCUUGAUACUCCCUUCAUUAAGCCUUGGCGGAAUAAGUAUUCCUGAAUUAUAGUUGAUCUGUUUGCCUUCUUUACAGACUCUGGUUCUCGAUUGUAUUGAGUUACCAAAUUCUCUUGAUUGCUUGCUUCAGUAACUCUCUAUCUGGCAAGGUUUAGGGUAGUGCAAAGAUUCUUACUCUCGACUUGGAGACUAUUGAGGUGCCACAAGGAUGUAAAGAAACAAAUUUUGACAACUGACCUCAAAUGCUACUUGCUUGGUCGCUCUCCAAAGCUACUAUUGUCACUAAAUUUCCUCAGGCAGCUAGGAAGUCUGCACCAACCACUGGAGAAUGAAGAUGCCCCACAGAUACCGUCCUGGAACUCUUGCCCUGCGGUAUAUAUUUGUUUAUAACUUCAUAUGCAUCCAUCAAAUACAGUGGAAUAAACCUUUCGGAGGUUUACUUAUGUUUUACACGUUUCUACCUAGACAUCUAUAAAUAUUAAAAUACUGUGCCCUGUCAUGUAUAUAUGUGAUAUAAAGAAGGAUCAUCCCCGCUCGUGAAUUGUGAUGAUUCUGUAAGUGUGGCCUCCCCCGUCGAGUUCUACGUGGCGGUAUGAUUUUUUAAGGAGUCAGUGGGAGCCUGAGAGGUUUUGUCGCCAAUGUUGUGGCCUCGUGGGGGUUUUUCCUAAAAGAAUUACACUUAUUUCUGUUAUUAGUAUUAGUCAUAUCUCUUCUGAAAUAAUCUUAAUGUAAACAAGAGGUUUUUUGUUUGAGGUGUUUUGGACAUUCUUUCUUUUGUUAGAUAAAAAACUGCUUAUGGCUUCUGCAAACAUUGCAUUUACAUUUUUAUUUUAGCAGAGCA